rnacentral:tRNA from 2 species
GCGGCUGUGGUCCAGCGGUAUGACAGGGGCUUCCCAAGCCUCUAACCCGGGUUCGAUUCCCGGCAGCCGCA